UUAACGGAGAGUUUGAUUCUGGCUCAGAACGAACGCUGGCGGCGUGGAUAAGACAUGCAAGUCGAGCGAGAUUUUUUCCUGUAGCAAUACAGGGAAAAGUCUAGCGGCGAACGGGUGCUUAACACGUGGGCAAUCUGCCGAGAAGUGGGGGAUAGCUCGCCGAAAGGCGAAUUAAUACCGCAUGUGAUCAGAGUGGACAUCCAUUCAAAAUCAAAGUCGCCCAGCUAUUUCAAUUAAUUCGAGAAUUCCUGCGUGAUUGGAAUCGCGAGGACGUUCGAAAUUCCAACUGAUAACCGAGUUGGUUGAAGUAGCUGGGUGACGCUUCUUGAGGAGCCCGCGGCCUAUCAGCUUGUUGGUGAGGUAACGGCUCACCAAGGCGAUGACGGGUAGCUGGUCUGAGAGGACGACCAG
rnacentral:rRNA from 1 species